rnacentral:lncRNA from 1 species
CUGGUUGGUGUGUUGUUUGGGUGGAGAUGAGAUAACAGGUUCGAUUCCCAUUCCUUCCUUUUUAUUUCUAUUACGUAAAGCUUGGUUUUCUUGUGCUCGUUGGGAUGUUCCCUCCUUGUCCGGGCCGAGCUCGGUUAUCGUGCUCGUUGGGCCUGUGCUUGUCCGAGCCGAGGUUCUCUGCAGCCGAGCUGUGCCUGUGCUUGUCCGAGCGAAGGUUCUUUGUGCAUGUGCUUGUGCUCGCUGGGCCCUGCCCCUGCUCGUUCGAGGUUCUGUGUGCCUGUGCUUGUCCGACCCACCUCAACUGAAGCGCGAAGAGCCGAGGCCGAGGUCGGACCACAGGUGUG